GUCAAACGUCACCAAUUAUGUCAAAGUCAGAUGUUGCAAUGUUGGUGAUUUAAUUAAACUGAUUUUUGUGUUUAUUUUUAUUGCAACUUCUAAUAAAUUAUACAAUAUCGAUUCACAUAAUAAUAAUCAAGAUGAUUUUAUUUUCAUCGUGGAAGAAGGAAAUGUAUGUAAAUCAGAAUUAAUAAAAAUAAUUAUAUAAAAUCAUGAAGUAGACACACAAUAAUCAGAAAACAAUAUUGUUUUAAAAAGAAAACAUUCAAAAAUAUGGAUUGGUGAAGAAGUAAAAACAAAAUGAAAAAGUUUACUGAAGAGUUUGAACAAGAGGUUAAUCAGUUUUAAAUAAAUAUAUCUAUUAUAUUACCUACAUAGUUGAAAACUUUUGAUAUAUAUUGCAAUCAUGUAGAUGGAAUCCCGCAUUCUUUAAGAAAAAAAAAAGCAAUUUCCAGAAGGAUAUAAUAAGAAGCAAUAAUAAAAUAAAGUAGAUAAUGCAAGAAAGAACAAAGCCAUUAUUUAACAUAGCUCAACAACUUCACAUAGAAAAAGAUGAGGAAAGGGCACAACAGAAGUAUGCCAGAUAAAAGGGUAGAAGGGAGACACAGAUAAGAAGUGGAUUUAUUCAAUUUAAAAAUUAAACUGCAAAUGACAAAUAAAUAAAUAAUAAAAAAAUCA